UACGUAGGAGACUAGCGUUGUCCGGAAUUACUGGGUGUAAAGCGCGUGUAGGCGGCAUACCAAGUCUGUUGUGAAAUCGCCCGGCCCAACUGGGCGGGGUCAAUGGAAACUGGUAAGCUGGAGGACGGUAGAGGCGAGUGGAAUUCCCGGUGUAGUGGUGAAAUGCGUAGAGAUCGGGAGGAACACCUGUGGCGAAGGCGGCUCGCUGGGCCGAUCCUGACGCUGAGACGCGAAGGCGUGGGGAGCGAACGGG
rnacentral:rRNA from 1 species